GAAACAGACUUCUGGGCAAAUGAGCCUUUUGAUGUGAUCCAACAUAGCUCUUCCUAUGCUCAUCUGUUUUUCAUCAGAUAGAAUCCAGAAUUUUAUCAUCACAAUCUACCAUCUGAUUCUGCAUAAUGUGUAGAUAGACUUCCAAGCGUUCUUUCUUUUCAGAGAGCAGUGCAUCUCAACCUCAGCAACUUUAACAAGUAUGGACUUCCUCAGACAACCAUUCUGGAAAAUGAACUCCAUGCAUCAUAAAGUUCUGUCUUAGAGAAAAGUUUGGACACAGAGUUACAAGACACAAGAAUUUCAGUAGAAUUCCAACAGUCCAGAACUGUUCAAUUAUGUUGAUUCACCAAAAGACGUAUACUGCAUUUGUCCUUGGUGCAUUGUCCUUUGGUGCACAUUCAUCAUUUCUUCACACAGCCACCUGUAACCAUCAGCUGGGGCUCAAGAGGCAGCGGGAUUGAGGAGGCAGAAUGAAAAAUCGGGACUUUUUUGAAACGCCGCGGGACACGGGACAAAUUGCUAAAAAUCGGGACUGUCCCGCCAAAAGCGGGACGUCUGGUCACCUUAAUGUAUAUUGCAUUAAGCUUUAAAGCUAUCUUAGCCUCAUUGUCACAGAUGCUACUUUGAAUCUCAUCCCUUAUACAUUAUCUAAGUAGUCAACUUACUUUUCUUGUGUGUUUGGGCCUCAUACUAGACCUUCACCUUAUGGUGAUUUAUAUAGAUUUUACAGAUGGAGAUUCUCUGAAUUGGCUCUAUAACUCAUAACUUUAAAUCCCAAUUCUGAAAUUAUUCAGAAAUUAAAGAUUAUUAAUUUUAACUGCAACUUCCCAACUCUAUACUGUUACUUCAGGAAGCUAAUUAAAAGUGAUAUAAUUGUGUUCUAAGUCCUUGAAAAUCGGACCAUUGUUUUAAAUUUGGAUUUCUGUUUUUCUGAGUAACCCUUUUGAAAUAUUUCAGUUUUCAUUGCUUCAUAUAUUUGUUGUGAUAAUGAAACAAAAUAUAACCAAAUAUAGUUUAGCAAUCUUAUUGUGUGAGGAUGCAGAAUAUGGGACAAGAAUAAUUUCACUACUUUCAUGAAAGUGCUUUAUUGCUUUCAUGAAAUUGAUAGGUUGCCAUUAAUUUUAAUGUGUUUAUUUACAUUUCAUUUAACUUUUUGAGAUUUUUAUCUAGAGCUUUCUUUUUUUCUUUUUCAUUUCCAGGCUUUUUGAAAGCACAAAUAUGUCCUAGCAGAAAUGGACAUGUAGCUUAAUUCUGGUAAAAUAAAAUGACAAUGUGUUAUAUGAUAUUUUGGUAUUAUAGAAAAAAUACUUAGAAAAUAUAUAAUAAAAAUACUUUAAAUGGCU